CUAUGACAAUCCUGAAGUUGGAGUUCCCAGAUCUGCUACUGAGGAAGACAGAGACCUAGGAAAUUAUCUACCAAUCCAGAAGACAAAACUAUUAAAGCUGAAGAAAAAAAAAGUGCUGCUACAAAUUGAAAUCAGCUCUAAUGCCUCUGUGAGCUUCACCGGAAUGUAAGAGAUCUCUUAGAUGCAGAUGUGGAACUGCUUACUUCAGGCUCAAACGCCCAUUGCAUCAGUGGCAAGAGCAGAAACCCAUCUAGUUACCCGCUCGGCGUCUUCUGAUUUAUCUGAAGAAUUGGCAAGAAAUCCUCAUUCCUGUAUUCCCAGCCCGGCUGCAUUUCACUUACCAUGGAGCGGUCUCUUUACAAAUCACUGUCACAAGCACCUCUGACUGGCUGUGCUUUUCUGUGGUGAUCUGCAUUAGAUAGGCACCAAAUUCACAUUGCAGAAAAUAAAAAGGAGACCCAGAAGAAGGGGGAAGCAAUCAGCAGUAUCUGCUUCAGCAUUCCAAGUGACUCUGUCCCUAGCAUGUGUAUAAAAUCACAUGAUUUCAGUGACCAGGAGACUCUCACAGCUGUCUCAAAGACAGAAUGCAUGAAAUCUGGUGGGGGUGCUAUGGUAGGGGUGCGGGGGGGGUGUUUAAGUGU